GCAAGUCGAGCGGAUGAAGGGAGCUUGCUCCUGGAUUCAGCGGCGGACGGGUGAGUAAUGCCUAGGAAUCUGCCUGGUAGUGGGGGAUAACGUCCGGAAACGGGCGCUAAUACCGCAUACGUCCUGAGGGAGAAAGUGGGGGAUCUUCGGACCUCACGCUAUCAGAUGAGCCUAGGUCGGAUUAGCUAGUUGGUGGGGUAAAGGCCUACCAAGGCGACGAUCCGUAACUGGUCUGAGAGGAUGAUCAGUCACACUGGAACUGAGACACGGUCCAGACUCCUACGGGAGGCAGCAGUGGGGAAUAUUGGACAAUGGGCGAAAGCCUGAUCCAGCCAUGCCGCGUGUGUGAAGAAGGUCUUCGGAUUGUAAAGCACUUUAAGUUGGGAGGAAGGGCAGUAAGUUAAUACCUUGCUGUUUUGACGUUACCAACAGAAUAAGCACCGGCUAACUUCGUGCCAGCAGCCGCGGUAAUACGAAGGGUGCAAGCGUUAAUCGGAAUUACUGGGCGUAAAGCGCGCGUAGGUGGUUCAGCAAGUUGGAUGUGAAAUCCCCGGGCUCAACCUGGGAACUGCAUCCAAAACUACUGAGCUAGAGUACGGUAGAGGGUGGUGGAAUUUCCUGUGUAGCGGUGAAAUGCGUAGAUAUAGGAAGGAACACCAGUGGCGAAGGCGACCACCUGGACUGAUACUGACACUGAGGUGCGAAAGCGUGGGGAGCAAACAGGAUUAGAUACCCUGGUAGUCCACGCCGUAAACGAUGUCGACUAGCCGUUGGGAUCCUUGAGAUCUUAGUGGCCAGCUAACGCGAUAAGUCGACCGCCUGGGGAGUACGGCCGCAAGGUUAAACUCAAUGAAUUGACGGGG
rnacentral:rRNA from 1 species